CGACCCUUGCAGGUGAUGUCGGCCUGUAGUGAUUCAGGCGUCACCGUGUUUCCUUGGCCCAGGAGUGAAAGAGUUCACCUCUUUCUUUCCAAUGGAGCGCAGCACGACAGUCUGCGUCGGAUGUGAGGUGUUGCACCCAGGAGUGGCCAUUCUUCAAAGUCUAUAUCUUCAGCAUUCCGCAGGCCGGGCUGUUCCAUCCCGUGUUUUGUAGAUGAGCCGCCAUUACUCCCCGACGUGCUGUCUUGGGGCGUUCCUUGCGAGGGCCAGCCGCCAUCUUGUGCCGGCAGGUGGGCCGGAGUGGAAUGGUCGCCAUCUUGGAUUUGCCGGUGACCUUGAGUAGGCAUCGUGUCGUUUUGUCCAGGCGCUGAUCUAGGAGAGCGGGACCUUUCAUUUCUGCUUCUCGAUGAACAUCGCAGU